rnacentral:lncRNA from 1 species
UUUCGAAUGAACUCACGCUCUCUUGCCUUUUACCACUCGACCUCGUCUCACAAAUUCGUAAUUCGUCUCGAUAGACUUAAUUUGCUGCUUAAGGGUCAGUUUCAAAAUGGGUUACAAGGGAUAAUGUCGGGUGUAGGGUAGGUUGAACAAAGAAGAAAAUUGGUUUAAAAUGUGGCGUUGGGAUGGGUAAAUAAUGGUAGGAAGGGAAACUUGAUGAUCGGAGUAAUAAGUGAUAAUGAUAAAAACUCGCAAGACUUUUCACUUUUUUUUUCUUUCUUCUUUUUUUUAACUCGAUUUUUUUGUCACUUCUUUUUUUUUCCUUUUUUUCGAUUUUUUUUGAAUUUUUUUUCCGAAUUUCUUCUCUUUUUUUAAUACAAUACAAUAGUAAAC